rnacentral:rRNA from 1 species
UGAGACACGGCCCAGACUCCUACGGGAGGCAGCAGUGGGGAAUCUUAGACAAUGGGCGCAAGCCUGAUCUAGCCAUGCCGCGUGAGUGAUGAAGGCCUUAGGGUCGUAAAGCUCUUUCGCCAGAGAUGAUAAUGACAGUAUCUGGUAAAGAAACCCCGGCUAACUCCGUGCCAGCAGCCGCGGUAAUACGGAGGGGGUUAGCGUUGUUCGGAAUUACUGGGCGUAAAGCGCACGUAGGCGGAUCAGAAAGUUGGGGGUGAAAUCCCAGGGCUCAACCCUGGAACGGCCUCCAAAACUCCUGGUCUUGAGUUCGAGAGAGGUGAGUGGAAUUCCGAGUGUAGAGGUGAAA